rnacentral:misc_RNA from 1 species
AGUCGUAACAAGGUUACCGUAGGUGAACCUGCGGUAGGAUCAUUAACAUUAGCAAAACGCGUAGUAUCAACCCAAUACACGCGUAUGUCCUCCUAUCAUUUGUCUUUCACUUGUGAUUCAUCGUGUUAGCAGCAGACGAUGAGCAAUAGAAACAAGUUCCUAUGAGAACUAAACGGAGUCCUAGUCUUGUCCUUAGUCAUUAGUAAUCAUUAUUACAACUCUUAACAACGGAUAUCUUGGUUCAU